AACGAACGCUGGCGGCGUGCCUAACACAUGCAAGUCGCGCGCGAAGGGCUUCGGCCUUGUAGAGCGGCGCACGGGUGAGUAACACGUGGGUAAUCUUCCUUCAGGACUGGGGAUAACCCGGGGAAACUCGGGCUAAUACCGGAUAAGACCACGCAACGAGAGUUGCGCGGGAAAAGCGGAGGACCUCUUCGGAGGCUUCGUACCAGAAGAUGAGCCCGCGGCCCAUCAGGUAGUUGGCGGGGUAACGGCCCACCAAGCCUAAGACGGGUAGCUGGUCUGAGAGGAUGAUCAGCCACACUGGAACUGAGACACGGUCCAGACUCCUACGGGAGGCAG
rnacentral:rRNA from 1 species